GUCUGUUCCUGCUUCUCUCCACUAGAAUCAAGGUCAAGGAUAGAAGCUGGUCUAGCACAAAGUUAGAUGAAUUGUCUUCCAUUUAAUCAGUCAACAUUACAAAGUGUUUACGCCACAUACAACUUCAUAACAUCCGGGUCUGAGGGCAUCUGUAAAAUAGGGGGACCUCCAAUCUCUCUUUCCACAGGUGGGCAAUCAGAGAGCUGGUCCACCGCGCUGGCCUGCCGGGCCUCCUGCCUGUCCCGGGCUGAGUGCCUCUGAACCACAAGCUUCGCAGUCCUGAACGCUGACCCAAGCCCCUCCCAGGCACGUAGGAUGCUCGGGCAGGGGGUGGGGCUCUCGGAGGUGUGGGCGGGGCUCUCGGAGGCGUGGUCACGUGCAGGCAAGGACCAUGGGAGACAGCUGGUUCAGGGGCUCAGAGACCAAGCGCAGGCAAGCCGGCCCCACGCCCUGUGGCCAGGAUACAGAGCUGAGGGGACAGAGCGGGAAGCAGCCCAGGGUGUGCAGGACGUGACACUGUUUGCUGUGAGGGACGGAACAGGGAGAGAGGCUGAGACCAUCAGGCAGCUGAGAAGACCAGAGGCACAGGUAGAGGCCGGGGUACGAGGACCCCGAAGCUGUGCCCACACGGCCUCUCCCGCAGGUGGUCCGGAUGAAAGGGUGUGUCCGCCAUAA
rnacentral:lncRNA from 1 species